AACAAACGGCUGGCGGCGUGCCUAACACAUGCAAGUCGUACGAGAAAGUCGGCUUCGGCCGAUGAGUACAGUGGCGCACGGGUGAGUAGCGCGUGGGUAAUCUGCCCCCCGGUCAGGAAUAACCCGCCGAAAGGCGGGCUAAUACCCGAUAACACUGACGCUCCGCGGAGCGUCUUUCAAAGAAGGCCUCUGUUUACAAGCUUUCGCCGGAGGAUGAGCCCGCGUACCAUUAGCUAGUUGGCAGGGUAAUGGCCUACCAAGGCUACGAUGGUUAGCUGGUCUGAGAGGAUGGCCAGCCACACUGGAACUGAGACACGGUCCAGACUCCUACGGGAGGCAGCAGUGAGGAAUCUUGCGCAAUGGGGGAAACCCUGACGCAGCAACGCCGCGUGAGUGAGGAAGGCCUUCGGGUCGUAAAGCUCUGUCAGAUGGGAAGAAAUGGAUGGGGGCUAAUAUCGCCCAUCCUUGACGGUACCAUCAGAGGAAGCACCGGCUAACUCCGUG
rnacentral:rRNA from 1 species